UUGGAAUCUUGCCGAAAUGCAUGUUUUAUUUGUAGGUAUCUGGAUGACCGUAUCAGACAAUAAUACCAAUCCCACAGUAAUUAUACUAGUUGGGAUUGGAAUCUUGCCGAAAUGCAUUUUUUAAUUUUUGAUAUUUGGAUGACUGUAUCAGACUACAAUACCAAUCCCACAGUAAUUAUACUAGUUGGGAUUGGAAUCUUAACGUAACCAUGUUUUAUUCAUUGAUAUCUGAAUGACUGUAUCAGACUAUAAUACCAAUCCCACAGUAAUUAUACUAGUUGGGAUUGGAAUCUUAACGUAACCAUGUUUUAUUCAUUGAUAUCUGAAUGACAGUAUCAGACUAUAAUACCAAUCCCACAGUAAUUAUACUAGUUGGGAUUGGAAUUUUAACGAAAUGCAUGUUUUAUUUAUUGGUAUCUGGAUGACUGUAUCGCAC
rnacentral:lncRNA from 1 species